AGGGAAGAUGGCGAUAACCAAGAUGUUAGUGGUAGAAUUUAUCUGGGAGGGUGCAGGUUGGGAAGAUGGCGAUGAUACAUUGGGGGUAAAUGGUAGAUUUUAUUUGGGCGUGUGACGGUAGGGAAGAUGGCGAUAAUCAAGAUGUUAGUGGUAGAAUUUAUUUGUAGGAGUAGGGAAGUUGGCAAUGAUACAAUGAUAGUAAGUUGUACAUUUUAUACGGUACUAUUAAACGUUUUGAAAGGGGUGAGAGUAGGGAAGUUGGCAGUGAGGGUAAGUGGUAUUAUUCAAUGUUUUGAAAGGGUGAGGAUAGGAAAGUUGGUAAUGAGGGUAAGUGGUACUAUUCAAUGUUAUGAAAGGGUGAGGAUAGGGAAGUUGUCAGUGAGGGUAAGUGGUACUAUUCAAUGUUUUGAAAGGGUGAGGAUAGGGAAGUUGGUAAUGAGGGUAAGUGGUACUAUUCAACGUUUUGAAAGGGUGAGGGUAGGGAAUGAUAAAAUGGGCAGUUGUUAAGCAAAUGGGAGGCCUCUGUCUGGGAUAUAUGUACCCGAUUUCAUUCAUCCUGGCCGUUUGAAUUUAGUAAAUAUAUUUUAUAAAUUUGUAGUUUAACUGCACGGAUGAAUGUCCACAACAUCUACCAUAUUCAGUGUUGGAUAACAACACAAAUAGUGAAACAGCAUCUAGAACAGUUUGUGCUGAUAAUACCCAUCCAGAAGUCAUCGCUUUAUUAUCACGUAACGCUGAAGAUGAAAAGAAGAAAAUGGCUAUAAUUGUUGCUCCAUCUGUAGCCAGUGUACUGAUUGUAGCUGUUUUGAUCGCUUGUAUAGCUUGGUGCUGUCAAAAACGAGCUAAAGCCAAGAAAAAAACGGCAAAACUUACGGCCAAGAUGACUGGCUGGGAUGAGGAAGUGCCUCUUACACCUACGACAGCUAAACCUGACCUUGCUCAGUUAAAAUUGAUAAAGGAAUACGAUUUACGACGUGGAGGUAUUAUUGGCUCUGGAGCAUUUGGUACUGUCUAUAAAGAUUUUGGAUUCCAGAAGGUGAAAAUGUUAAAAUUCCUGUGGCUAUAAAAGUUUUACAGGAAGGAACCUCACCCAAUCAGAAUAAAGAAUUGUUGGAAGAGGCUCGUGUCAUGUCGUCAGUAGAACAUCAGUAUUGUGUCAGGAUAUUGGCAGUCUGUAUGACGGCACAAAUGAUGUUAAUAACGCAGCUCAUGCCUCUCGGAUGUCUUCUGGAUUACGUGCGAAAAAACAAAGAUCACAUUGGAUCGAAAGUUUUGUUGAAUUGGUGUACACAAAUUGCUAAGGUGAGUAGAAUCGCAGUUUUAUCCACAAAAACAAUCUUUUAGUUCCUGAAAACCCCCAACAAUCCUUAAGAUGCAACACUGACAAGGGGGAGUUAACAAGCUAGCAUCUUACCCACUGAGCCACAGAUAGGAUUAUGCAAGAGCUAAAUCUGCCUAUUGUAGGUCUUUGUUUAGGUCUGAAAUGUUUUCUAAAGUAUUAAUUAGACAUUAAUUAACUGAUCCAGGCCUUAAUCAACUCUAGAUGGUAUCAGAUUUCUCCAAUAUACACCAGGAUCUAGCUGCCUUGUGCAUGAUGCCUGUCUGUAGAAAGUCAUAUACACCAGGAUCUAGCUGCCUAGUGCAUGAUGCCUGUCUGUAGAAAGUUAUAUACACCAGGAUCUAGCUGCCUUGUGCAUGAUGUCUGUCUGUAGAAAGUUAUAUACACCAGGAUCUAGCUGCCUAGUGCAUGAUACCUGUCUUUAGAAAGUGAUGUACUUCAGCCUCCAGAUAUCUAAAGAUAAUUAUUUAAACAUCCUGAUCUACAGAGAAUUAAAGAUGAUCUGGAAAUUGUAAUCAUGCUCUUACUGCCUGGUGCAUGACAACUGUUAAUACCUAUACUCCUGAUAUCCCAUUUUAAAAAUAAACUUUAAUUGUUUUUGUGGAAAGGUGUACAAAGUGAUAUACUCCCGGGACCGUGUUCACUAAAAUAUGUUAAGAAUGCAGCUUUUUCAUUGGUUAAUAGCUUAAAUUUGUACUAGGAUUUAAAGCCUCAGCCAAUGAAAACCUUUCAUCCUUAAGAUAUUUUAGUUCACGAUUUCAUGAAUAAGGUCCGAGAUAUCCCAUUUUAAAAAUUAACUUUUUGUUUUUGUAGAAAGAAAUUGUUUUCUCAUUUUUAACCUCACAUAAUAUAAAAUGCUAUCAGGUUUGGUGGAAUUGUUAAUAAGAUAAAAUUCUGUAUAAUUGUAAAUACUUGUAAUAAAGAGGAUAUUAAUUCAAUAUAUCAUAGAUCUAAUAUCAGUAAUAAUCCAAAUACGACACAUAGCAAAUAUUUUAAUUUAUUAAAAAACGAAUUCCAUAUCAUUUUUUUUUCUUUUUCAUUUUUUUUUGUUUAGUAGCUUAGAGUUUCUAAUCAAAUCGUGGAAACGUGUUGUUUUAAAAUCAAUUGGUUCAAAUAGAUCAUUAAAAGGUAAACAAAAGUAAACAAAAAUCAUAAUUUCUUUUCUUAAACUAUGUUAAGCCAAUAUUCUCUAUAUAAUGAAAUGAAAUGGGGUUUAAAAGUUCUUAUUUCCUGCAAAAACUGGGCUGAUGAAGACAAUCAUACAUCGUACAGUGUGCUAUGAGGGGAAUUUUACCUGGACAGUGGCACUACGACCUACGCUUUAUUUCAAUUUCUGACUGUUAAUGGUUCUUUUAGCUUACUUGCUGCCCAUCGUGUAAACGGGACCUAGGUCUUUCAUCUGAUCCGGAACGACUAGACAUCGUUCGGUCUAUAUAAAGACAGUUGUAAAUCCUGUUUUAGUUUACGUGCUGCCCAUCGUGUAAACGGUACCUGGAUCUUUCAUCCCAUCCCGAACGACUAGACACUGUUCUGUUGAUAUAAAUACAAUACAAUUUUAAAUCCUAUUUUAUUUGUAUAUUUACCAAAAGUUUUAUAAAUUUUAUCAAUCAUAUUGAAAUUUUAUAAACUGUAAUUCCAAAACUUAGGGUUUUUUUUAAAAAAAUUAUUUUGAAUUAAUGUUUUAUUUUCAUGCAGUGAUUUUAAAGUAGCCAUUUUAAAGGGGCACAAUUGUCAGCCAUGUUUUAGAUAGUCUUGGAUACCCAGAACAAUCUGAAUGAUAGAGACUAUGUAUUACAUUCAUUUGCCUAAAAUAAAUGUUAUUAAUAAAUUAUGUUUUUAGGGGCCAGAAUACAAAUGUAAAUUCGAUAUCUCAAUUUUGUGAAAAUUUUGGACCUUAUUCACAAAAACUAAAUUAUUUGAGGGAUGCAACAAUUUCAUUGGUUGAGAUUUGAAAUCAUAGUACAAAUUUGAUCUUUUCGCCAAUAAAAAAGCCACCUUUCUUGAAAUAUUUUAGUUUAAAUUUUUGUGAAUAAGACCCUUGAUGUUAAUUACGUAAUAUGUUGAAUAAAAUCUCUUUUUCAACCUACAUGAAAGCCAACCUAAAAUUUAAAAAUUUAUAAAAAUAAGUAAUUCAGCUGGACACCAUGAUCAUAUGAUAACUGAGGUAUCCAGGCUGGAUAAUCGUGACUUAGUCUUGAUUGUCAAGUACUGCUGCUACGGUAUUAAAUUCUCAAUGAUUCAACUUCAAGUAGUCAUAAUUUUGCUCAGAAUAAAGUAAUUUGAAUGAUAUUUUCAAUAUUAUCUAUUUAUCAACUGGUAUAUCAAGAAAGUCCAGGUUUUUUUUUAUCUAAAUCUUACAUAAUACAUCUUUAAGAAGAAAUCAACAACAUAACCAUUUUUAUCCAAAUUUUAAAUAUAUUUUUAGCUUUAUAUAUAUAUUUAUCCACAGAGUCUGUAAGAUAUUUAUCAUUUGAACCUUGAAUUAGGACAAAAUGGGUCUAAAAGCACACAUCAAAGUAAUAUGAAUGUAUAUAUACAAUGAUUUCAAAAUUAGUCAGAAACCAUAGAGUAGAGUACACGACUCGUGUACCUAAUUUAAAAUGUUCAUUAUGUAUUAAAUAUUGGAUAUUAUAAUUAAGAUCCCAUAUUUCUUAUGGCAAGAUAACAAUAUCAAUAGUGAUUGAAAUGGACCAAUAUUGAAUUCUACUUCAUGUUUUUAAUUUCGAAUAUUAUAAAAAAAUAGUUAGAGGUUAAGCUCCUUUAAUAUAUUUAAAUGAAAAGUAAAAUAUAUAUAUAGAUGUACCCGGAAGCUAUAUCACGUGAUUUAGACAGAUUAAUUAUCAUACUAAACUUACGCUGUCUGUCUAUAAAUAGCUCGGUUUGAUAACAGACAGGAAGUAGAGUAGAUAGUUCUCUGGGUGCUGAAUGAAUAAUUAUAACCUGUUACUUCCUGUGAUGUAUUUGAUUUCAGUAAGUUCUUAGUUCUUGUAUAACCUGUUAUAUACACAGCUGUUGUUAUAUUAUAUAACCAACUACCUGAUAUAUCGUGUGAGUUAAUAUGAUGAUCAUGUCAGAUGUAUAAUAUACAAAUUAAUAAUAAAAAUAUUUCUUUCAAACACUAGAAACUCACAGUUCUUAUUUUGUUGUAUCCAGCUGUUAUGUUUUUUAUACCCUCUUAUCGUGGAGUAUGUAACAGAAUACAUUGAAAAGAAAACGGGGCCUAACAGUACACUGAUC